CUACGGGCCGCUGCAGUGGGGAAUAUUGCACAAUGGGCGAAAGCCUGAUGCAGCAACGCCGCGUGAGGGACGACGGCCUUCGGGUUGUAAACCUCUUUUAGCAGGGAAGAAGCGAAAGUGACGGUACCUGCAGAAAAAGCACCGGCUAACUACGUGCCAGCAGCCGCGGUAAUACGUAGGGUGCAAGCGUUGUCCGGAAUUAUUGGGCGGAAAGAGCUCGUAGGCGGUUUGUCGCGUCUGCUGUGAAAAUCCGAGGCUCAACCUCGGACCUGCAGUGGGUACGGGCAAACUAGAGUGCGGUAGGGGAGAUUGGAAUUCCUGGUGUAGCGGUGGAAUGCGCAGAUGUCAGGAGGAACACCAAUGGCGAAGGCAGAUCUCUGGGCCGUAACUGACGCUGAGGAGCGAAAGCGUGGGGAGCGAACAGGAUUAGAUACCCCGGUAGUC
rnacentral:rRNA from 1 species